AUUGAACGCUGGCGGAAUGCCUUACACAUGCAAGUCGAGCGGCAGCACAGGAGCAGCUUGCGUGGCGAGGUGGCAACGGGUGGGCAAUUGAUCGAUACAUGCGAAUCUGUGUUGGCUAGCACGUCGACGGAGGUGCACUUACGGUAUUAGUCCUUACGGACUACGCGUGGAAUCACAAGACCUUGCGCCCUUGCACUAUCCGAUGUCCGAUUAGCUAGUUGGUGGGGUAAAGGCCUACCAAGGCAACGAUCUGUAGCUGGUCUGAGAGGAUGAUCAGCCACACUGGAACUGAGACACGGCCCAGACUCCUACGGGAGGCAGCAGUGGGGAAUUUUGGACAAUGGGGGCAAGCCUGAUCCAGCCAUUCCGCGUGAGUGAAGAAGGCCUUCGGGUUGUAAAGCUCUUUCGUCAGGAACGAAACGGCGAGCGCUAACAUAGCGUGCUACUGACGGUACCUGAAGAAGAAGCACCGGCUAACUACGUG
rnacentral:rRNA from 1 species